UUCCAGUCCCAAAGCAGCCAGGAGAACCACAGGAGCAUUUCUCAUCCUCUGCCAUGGCCAAAAGUCAACUCCACUCCAGCCUUCUGGUACAGAAAGAGUUCAGGCUGAAGAAGCUCCAUUAAAAAGGGAAGAAGGUGGAGACCAAAGCCAUUGUUUGCCAUUAACUUGAACCUGCAACCUGGAUCGAUUCUAAGACUAGUGGGAGACAUAUCAUCUAAUGCCUACCAAUUUACAAUUGCAUUGAACAAUAUUGACAAUAGCACUGCACUUCAUUUCACUGCACGUUUCAACUAUCUACGUGAUCACAACAAAAUAGUCUGCAACACCCGGAAUAAUGGGAAGUGGGGCAAAGAAAUAAGACAGAACUAUUUCCCCUUUCUGAAAGGGAUCAGAGUAGAGAUUUUCAUAGCAUUUCAAGGGACUUACUUUAAAAUAAAGCUGCCUGAUGGAUAUGAGUUUAGUGUCCCCAACCGCAAUGAAAUAACACUAAUCGAAACCCUGGGAGUUAGUGGAGACAUCAUAAUAAGAGCACUGUCCUUCGAAUGAGCCCUUCAAUCAAGCCAGCUUCAGACCAUUCUCAAGACUUGAAGCUUUUUAUUAGUAAUAAAAGUCCCAAUAAAUCAUUA